ACGGAAGGCAGCAGUAGGGAAUAUUGCACAAUGGGGGAAACCCUGAUGCAGCAACGCCACGUGUGGGAAGAAGCAUUUCUGUGUGUAAACCACUGUCGUGAGGGAAUAAUGCUUAAUUUCGGUUAAGUCGAAUGUACCUCGAAAGGAAGCACCGGCAAACUUCGUGCCAGCAGCCGCGGUAAUACGAGGGGUGCAAGCGUCGUUCGGAAUCACUGGGCGUAAAGGGAGCGCAGGUGGAGAUGCAAGCAGUCUGUACAAUACCGGGGCCCAACCCCGGACCUGCAGACUGGACUGUUUCUCUUGGAUAGGUCAGGGGCAAGCGGAAUUCCUGGUGUAGCGGUGGAAUGCGUAGAGAUCAGGAAGAACACCGAUGGCGAAGGCAGCUUGCUGGGGACUUAUCGACGCUCAUGCUCGAAAGUGCGGGUAGCAAACAGGAUUAGAUACCCUGGUA
rnacentral:rRNA from 1 species